AGAGAGUAAAGUUAACAGAAGCCCUUGGCACUUGCAAUCGCGGAAAUUUCUUCUAAUCUCCAUUCUUUCUCUUAUAAUCAGAUGAACUCGGUCGAAACCGAAACAAUCGAAACCUAAUCAUCAUUCUCUUCUCCCCGUCUCUUCUCUCCGUCUCUUCUCCAACCAUAUCCGAGACAGAGACUCCGAUUUCUCUCUCUCGCUCUCUAUUGCCAACCCCGACUCUUCAGAGGCUCCCCUCCGUCUUCGACUCUCCGCCAAGGCCUUCAGCUCCACCGUUGGGAAGAAUGGAGGUCUCUCCUCGGGAAAUUUGUCAGCACAAUACAGGCACAAAAAUGCAGGUAUGAGUGAACACGAUGCCGAAUUGGACAAAGGCUGUACAGAGACCUUGAUGAAAAUUAAGCCAUCUCGAUGUUGUGUUCGUUUGAUGAGUAAGCUGGAUUUCUUGCAUGGGAUUUGGUUUGGUGAGAAUGCUCCGACUAUUCAGAUCUUCACCCACAUGCACGGGAGUAUUAGUGAACUGCAAGAGCGUUUCGGUUGCCUUCUUCUCUUGGGUAACGAGUUUUGGAAGCUCUGGAGAAUGAUCAUCAAUUUUAUUGCCCAAAGUUACUGAACCAGAGACACAAAACACUAGAAAAGAUUCGUUAUCCCUUGAAUCGAGUAGAUUUCAAACCGGAACAAAAAAAUUUACAGA